UCUUAUGGAGACUUUCGGUGACUCUAUUGCUUGGUUUAAACUUGAAUUCUUAUAGAGGCAGAGUUACAAGCUAGAUGCCCGGUACCACUGAAGUAGGUGCUUUGAAAGCAUGUGGUAAUUGAAGUCAGGCUCCCAAAAUAUUUCUGGACAAGUAGAAACCUGAAGACUCAAAUGUUUCAAACCUUUGUCUGGCAAACCUGGUAGAGAAUAUCCAACACAUGCAAAAAUAUGGGGAAGGAAUGACAGACACUCAGGCAAGAUGUUAUGUGCGGUCCCUGCACACAACCUUGUAGCCACGCGUACUCACACAGACAUCUCACUACAGCAUGGCUGUGCAAUCAGGUCUCAUUUUUAUAAGAAAUGCAGCUGAACUUUUGAACUGUUAGGCACUUCUUAAAUCUGCUGCCCUAUAGCUCUGCAUGCCAUGAUCAUCACUCGUUGUGUUAGAGUAUGACUGUAAAUAAAUAUCUCAAAAUGCUACCAAUAUUUCCCCUUAUUAGGAAGGAUUCUUCCUCAUUAUCUCUGAAAAAUACCUGUGAACACCAAUAUUUUUCAGACUCUCAGUGUAACUCUAGUACCUCCAGUCAUAUGUGAGAAUCUGGCCCAUAUGUAAGAAAGUAGUUAUAUUUAAAAAAAAUAAACUAAACAGAGAGAGACAGUACAAAUAGCAAAUAGCACAGUCACUGGUAUGCUCUUUCCUAAGUGCUGUGUCAUGUCAUUGCUAACGAUCACAGUCAUUCUUGAUUUAAGCACCAGCUUACGUCCUCCAGGAUGUAAUUUUUUUCCACACAGAUUUAUUAUGUUUUGAAAAGGUAAUAACUAUAAAUGAAAAAUCUAAGAGUGAAUGUGUUUACGAUGUUGGUAAGGCUGUACAAACACAAAAGGAAAGUAGUCCCCUAAAACAUUUCUGCAUAUGUAUUCAGUCUUUUCAGUUCUUCCACCUCAAAUUUAUUUUAAGCUCAUAGUGAAUGUAACUUUCAAAUAAUGUUGUAAUUGGCUCCUUUGCACUGCACACAUUUCAUUGUAAUGUGUCUAACUGUAAAAGUCAGAGAGAAAUUGUUUAAGAGAAAGGGCAAUUCACAUGGGCUAGACUCCACCAGGUUCUGUGAAGUUCUUUGUAAUGAAUAAUAGUGUGAUCAAGAGUAGAGCCUGAAUCACAAUGCUUUACCCAUCUUUUCUGGAGAAGAGAGGAGUGUGUAAAGAAUUGAAGUUAUGCAUUUUCUUUGCUGUCAUCAUAUCAAUAGGUAAACAUAUGCUUACAUGUCAGAAUGUGUGGAGAACUGCUUUGUAUCUUAUUUUUUAUAUGAUAUAAAUGUACUGAGAACUGCUUUGUAUCAUAUUUUGUACAUGAUAUAUCAUGUAAUAGAUAGAAUGUGUUGUAUAUAGGUAAGAUAUUAUGAAGCUUGUUAGAAACAUAAUUAGAAAGGAUAACCUUAAGAUAAAAUAAAACAAUUACUUGAG
ensembl:lncRNA